GCCUAAUACAUGCAAGUCGAACGCUUCUUUCCUCCCGAGUGCUUGCACUCAAUUGGAAAGAGGAGUGGCGGACGGGUGAGUAACACGUGGGUAACCUACCCAUCAGAGGGGGAUAACACUUGGAAACAGGUGCUAAUACCGCAUAACAGUUUAUGCCGCAUGGCAUAAGAGUGAAAGGCGCUUUCGGGUGUCGCUGAUGGAUGGACCCGCGGUGCAUUAGCUUAGUUGGUGAGGUAACGGCUCACCAAGGCCACGAUGCAUAGCCGACCUGAGAGGGUGAUCGGCCACACUGGGACUGAGACACGGCCCAGACUCCUACGGGAGGCAGCAGUAGGGAAUCUUCGGCAAUGGACGAAAGUCUGACCGAGCAACGCCGCGUGAGUGAAGAAGGUUUUCGGAUCGUAAAACUCUGUUGUUAGAGAAGAACAAGGACGUUAGUAACUGAACGUCCCCUGACGGUAUCUAACCAGAAAGCCACGGCUAACUACGUGCCAGCAGCCGCGGUAAUACGUAGGUGGCUAGCGUUGUCCGGAUUUAUUGGGCGUAAAGCGAGCGCAGGCGGUUUCUUAAGUCUGAUGUGAAAGCCCCCGGCUCAACCGGGGAGGGUCAUUGGAAACUGGGAGACUUGAGUGCAAAAAGAGGAGAGUGGAAUUCCAUGUGUAGCGGUGAAAAUGCGUAGAUAUAUGGAGGAACACCAGUGGCGAAGGCGGCUCUCUGGUCUGUAACUGACGCUGAGGCUCGAAAAGCGUGGGGGAGCAAACAGGAUUAGAUACCCUGGUAGUCCACGCCGUAAACGAUGAGUGCUAAGUGUUGGAGGGUUUCCGCCCUUCAGUGCUGCAGCAAACGCAUUAAGCACUCCGCCUGGGGAGUACGACCGCAAGGUUGAAACUCAAAGGAAUUGACGGGGGCCCGCACAAGCGGUGGAGCAUGUGGUUUAAUUCGAAGCAACGCGAAGAACCUUACCAGGUCUUGACAUCCUUUGACCACUCUAGAGAUAGAGCUUUCCCUUCGGGGACAAAGUGACAGGUGGUGCAUGGUUGUCGUCAGCUCGUGUCGUGAGAUGUUGGGUUAAGUCCCGCAACGAGCGCAACCCUUAUUGUUAGUUGCCAUCAUUUAGUUGGGCACUCUAGCGAGACUGCCGGUGACAAACCGGAGGAAGGUGGGGAUGACGUCAAAUCAUCAUGCCCCUUAUGACCUGGGCUACACACGUGCUACAAUGGGAAGUACAACGAGUCGCUAGACCGCGAGGUCAUGCAAAUCUCUUAAAGCUUCUCUCAGUUCGGAUUGCAGGCUGCAACUCGCCUGCAUGAAGCCGGAAUCGCUAGUAAUCGCGGAUCAGCACGCCGCGGUGAAUACGUUCCCGGGCCUUGUACACACCGCCCGUCACACCACGAGAGUUUGUAACACCCGAAGUCGGUGAGGUAACCUUUUUGGAGCCAGCCGCCUAAGUGGGAUAGAUGAUUGGGGUGAAGUCGUAACAAGUAGCCGUA
rnacentral:rRNA from 1 species